CUUCUGUGGUGAUCCUGCAGUCGAUGGCCAAGAAAGCAUCCUCCAGUGCCUGGAAAAAAAACACACAAAGCCUAUGAGUGAUCUCAAGUGAAGAAAGGACUGAAACAAAAUUCCAGAGAAGACACGAUAUGAGAAAUUCAGUUGUCUGUCUCCCAACUACCCAAAGAUGAAACCACUUUGUUGAAGAGAAGCAGCAAAUACAUUCAGCAAAAUCGUGAGUUGUAUUUUAAUCAU